rnacentral:lncRNA from 1 species
CACCUGUCAUUCCUUUAAUAGAUGAAGAAUUAUAGGAUUCUUAAAUGUAUAUAUAUGGUACUCUACUCUUUGAAAUAAUACAUCAGAAUUAUUCUUUAAACCUUUUAUUACAAGCCGGUUUUGUGGGGUUGAGUUAGGCCUAAAACCCACUUCUAGCAUGGUAUCAGAGCUAUGGUUAAAGCCUAUCCUAGCGAUAUUUGUUGGGCAUAUUGUUCCACCCGCUAUUGGGCCGUUAUCGGACCACCCAUUAAUAUCUAGUCUCACGCUUGAGAUGUAUAUACCUCGGCGUGAGGGGGGUGUGUUGGAAGUCCCACAUCGACUAGAGAUAAGGCCAAUUUAUAAUAUAUAAGUGGGGUGCAGACCUCACCUUACAAGCCGGUUUUGUGGGGUUGAGUUAGGCCUAAAACCCACUUCUAACAUAUACAACACAGAUCCUAGCAUGUUAUCUUCUAGACUUGACUCGUCUGGACUUUAGAAUAAUAGUUGAGCUAUGGUGGGUCAUGCACCUGUGGUGGCUUGUGAUACUUAGGCUCACCCACCUUGGGCUCCCCCACCCUGGGCUCUCCCGCCUGCCACACUCACGAGGUUAGUAUGUUCCGCGCCCUAGAGCAUGA